rnacentral:rRNA from 2 species
AGAGUUUGAUCAUGGCUCAGAUUGAACGCUGGCGGCAGGCCUAACACAUGCAAGUCGAACGGUAACAGGAAGCAGCUUGCUGCUUUGCUGACGAGUGGCGGACGGGUGAGUAAUGUCUGGGAAACUGCCUGAUGGAGGGGGAUAACUACUGGAAACGGUAGCUAAUACCGCAUAACGUCGCAAGACCAAAGAGGGGGACCUUAGGGCCUCUUGCCAUCGGAUGUGCCCAGAUGGGAUUAGCUGGUAGGUGGGGUAACGGCUCACCUAGGCGACGAUCCCUAGCUGGUCUGAGAGGAUGACCAGCCACACUGGAACUGAGACACGGUCCAGACUCCUACGGGAGGCAGCAGUGGGGAAUAUUGCACAAUGGGCGCAAGCCUGAUGCAGCCAUGCCGCGUGUAUGAAGAAGGCCUUCGGGUUGUAAAGUACUUUCAGCGGGGAGGAAGGGAGUAAAGUUAAUACCUUUGCUCAUUGACGUUACCCGCAGAAGAAGCACCGGCUAACUCCGUGCCAGCAGCCGCGGUAAUACGGAGGGUGCAAGCGUUAAUCGGAAUUACUGGGCGUAAAGCGCACGCAGGCGGUUUGUUAAGUCAGAUGUGAAAUCCCCGGGCUCAACCUGGGAACUGCAUCUGAUACUGGCAAGCUUGAGUCUCGUAGAGGGGGGUAGAAUUCCAGGUGUAGCGGUGAAAUGCGUAGAGAUCUGGAGGAAUACCGGUGGCGAAGGCGGCCCCCUGGACGAAGACUGACGCUCAGGUGCGAAAGCGUGGGGAGCAAACAGGAUUAGAUACCCUGGUAGUCCACGCCGUAAACGAUGUCGACUUGGAGGUUGUGCCCUUGAGGCGUGGCUUCCGGAGCUAACGCGUUAAGUCGACCGCCUGGGGAGUACGGCCGCAAGGUUAAAACUCAAAUGAAUUGACGGGGGCCCGCACAAGCGGUGGAGCAUGUGGUUUAAUUCGAUGCAACGCGAAGAACCUUACCUGGUCUUGACAUCCACGGAAGUUUUCAGAGAUGAGAAUGUGCCUUCGGGAACCGUGAGACAGGUGCUGCAUGGCUGUCGUCAGCUCGUGUUGUGAAAUGUUGGGUUAAGUCCCGCAACGAGCGCAACCCUUAUCCUUUGUUGCCAGCGGUCCGGCCGGGAACUCAAAGGAGACUGCCAGUGAUAAACUGGAGGAAGGUGGGGAUGACGUCAAGUCAUCAUGGCCCUUACGACCAGGGCUACACACGUGCUACAAUGGCGCAUACAAAGAGAAGCGACCUCGCGAGAGCAAGCGGACCUCAUAAAGUGCGUCGUAGUCCGGAUUGGAGUCUGCAACUCGACUCCAUGAAGUCGGAAUCGCUAGUAAUCGUGGAUCAGAAUGCCACGGUGAAUACGUUCCCGGGCCUUGUACACACCGCCCGUCACACCAUGGGAGUGGGUUGCAAAAGAAGUAGGUAGCUUAACCUUCGGGAGGGCGCUUACCACUUUGUGAUUCAUGACUGGGGUGAAGUCGUAACAAGGUAACCGUAGGGGAACCUGCGGUUGGAUCACCU